GAGCCGCCUCCGCCCAGCUCGGCAGCGCGCAUGCGCGGCGGGACGGCGCCGUGGCCGGGACGGACGGGAUCUCGCCGCGCGUGCCCGGCGCCAGGAAGAGGGAGGAGGGAGAAGGGGAGCGGGCAGCGCCCGGCUGCGAUCGGAAGGCAGGCCGGGCGGUGACGGGGCCCGGCGCGACGCCUCGGUCGGCGUGCCGCGCUCAGAGCGCGUGCGCAGUAGGCGCGGUGCUGCCCGCACCUUCGCGUCGGCGGGGUCCUCGUGGGGUCGCGCUUCUCGCUUCGCGCCUCGCGCUUCCCGCCCGCUAGCACGAGGUGGGCGCGCGGCCGGCCCUGAGCGCUGCCGCGCGCUGAGGAGAGCGGAGAUGGGGCUGAGGCUGCCGGGCGGCCCGCCGUGCCGGGCGGCCGGGGCGGCGUGAAGCUGAGGGGUUACAGCACCCCUUCCUUACCCCUCUCUUAGUGUCGUUCUCGGCGCAUCGCCUGUGUGCGAGGGGCGCGGUUACCCGGUGUGUGCAAGCAGCGCGGCCGUGCCCCAGGUAAAGCCUUUUUCAGUCAUCAGUAGAGAAGUGUACAGAAAAAAAUGUUGCAAGAAAACCUCUUCACUGG